rnacentral:rRNA from 1 species
CCUACGGGAGGCUGCAGUGAGGAAUAUUGGUCAAUGGGCGUAAGCCUGAACCAGCCAAGUCGCGUGAGGGAUGAAGGUUCUCUGGAUCGUAAACCCCUUUUAUAAGGGAAUAAAGUGUGGGACGUGUCUUAUUUUGUACGUACCUUAUGAAUAAGGAUCGGCUAACUUCGUGCCAGCCGCCGCAGUAAUACGGGGGAUGCGAGCGUUAUCCGGAUCUAUUGGGUUUAAAGGGUGCGUAGGCGGAAGGUUAAGUCAGCGGUAAAAUGCCGGUGCUCAACACCGGCCUGCCGUUGAAACUGGUCUUCUUGAGUGAGCGAGAGGUAUGCGGAAUGCGUGGUGUAGCGGUGAAAUGCGUAGAUAUCACGCAGAACUCCGAUGGCGAAGGCAGCAUACCGGCGCUCAACUGACGCUGAGGCACGAAAGCGUGGGGAUCGAACAGGAUUAGAUACCCGAGUAGUC